GAGAGAGAGAGAGAUGGGUAUCAGCAAUGAGGCAAAAGGUUGGGGAGUGCAGAGAGCGCCGUCUCCGUUUGCUUCGGAGGGUGAUGGGGCAGGCAAAAUGGUUUUUCUUUUUGCCACGGUCAUGGGUUUUUGCACAGGUUGACAAGAGCUCGGCCUAUACUGGAGCUGCUGAUGAUAACAUUUUCCAACUCUAAGGAGAGAUAGACAUUCUAGAGCAAAUAGUGAUGGAGCUGCUGAUGAUUCUGCUCAGAAGCAGAUUGAGUUUUCUGCUGCUUAUGCUUUGGAG